GGCUCACAGGCGACGACGGGUAGCCGGCCUGAGAGGGCGACCGGCCACACUGGGACUGAGACACGGCCCAGACUCCUACGGGAGGCAGCAGUGGGGAAUAUUGCACAAUGGGCGAAAGCCUGAUGCAGCGACGCCGCGUGAGGGAUGACGGCCUUCGGGUUGUAAACCUCUUUCAGCAGGGAAGAAGCGAAAGUGACGGUACCUGCAGAAGAAGCGCCGGCUAACUACGUGCCAGCAGCCGCGGUAAUACGUAGGGCGCAAGCGUUGUCCGGAAUUAUUGGGCGUAAAGAGCUCGUAGGCGGCUUGUCACGUCGGUUGUGAAAGCCCGGGGCUUAACCCCGGGUCUGCAGUCGAUACGGGCAGGCUAGAGUUCGGUAGGGGAGAUCGGAAUUCCUGGUGUAGCGGUGAAAUGCGCAGAUAUCAGGAGGAACACCGGUGGCGAAGGCGGAUCUCUGGGCCGAUACUGACGCUGAGGAGCGAAAGCGUGGGGAGCGAACAGGAUUAGAUACCCUGGUAGUCCACGCCGUAAACGGUGGGCACUAGGUGUGGGCAACAUUCCACGUUGUCCGUGCCGCAGCUAACGCAUUAAGUGCCCCGC
rnacentral:rRNA from 1 species